CCUACGGGAGGCAGCAGUGGGGAAUAUUGGACAAUGGGCGAAAGCCUGAUCCAGCAAUGCCGCGUGAGUGAUGAAGGCCUUAGGGUUGUAAAGCUCUUUUACCCGGGAUGAUAAUGACAGUACCGGGAGAAUAAGCUCCGGCUAACUCCGUGCCAGCAGCCGCGGUAAUACGGAGGGAGCUAGCGUUGUUCGGAAUUACUGGGCGUAAAGCGCACGUAGGCGGCUUUGUAAGUUAGAGGUGAAAGCCUGGAGCUCAACUCCAGAAUUGCCUUUAAGACUGCAUCGCUUGAAUCCAGGAGAGGUGAGUGGAAUUCCGAGUGUAGAGGUGAAAUUCGUAGAUAUUCGGAAGAACACCAGUGGCGAAGGCGGCUCACUGGACUGGUAUUGACGCUGAGGUGCGAAAGCGUGGGGAGCAAACAGGAUUAGGAUACCCUGGUAGUCCACGCCGUAAACGAUGAUAACUAGCUGUCAGGCGUCUAGUAGUCGUUGGUUGGUCGCAGACUACGCAUAAGUUAUCCGUCCGUGGGAGUACGGUCGCGAGAUAACGUACAAGAGAGUAGACGCGUGAGACGUGCGACGACGACGACGAGGGAGAGG
rnacentral:rRNA from 1 species